UACGUAGGGGUCCGAGCGUUGUCCGGAAUUAUUGGGCGUAAAGGGCUCGUAGGCGGUUCGUCGCGUCGGGAGUGAAAACGUCGGAGCUCAACGUCCGAGCCUGCUUCCGAUCACGGGCAGACUAGAGGUAGGCAGGGGAGAGCGGAACUCCUGGUGUAGCGGUGGAAUGCGCAGAUAUCAGGAAGAACACCGGUGGCGAAGGCGGCUCUCUGGGCCUUACCUGACGCUGAGGAGCGAAAGCGUGGGGAGCAAACAGG
rnacentral:rRNA from 1 species